UACGGGGGGGCAAGCGUUGUUCGGAAUUACUGGGCGUAAAGGGCUCGUAGGCGGCCAACUAAGUCAGACGUGAAAUCCCUGGGCUCAACCCAGGAACUGCGUCCGAUACUGGUUGGCUUGAAUCCGGGAGAGGGACGUGGAAUUCCAGGUGUAGCGGUGAAAUGCGCAGAUAUCAGGAGGAACACCAGUGGCGAAGGCAGGCUCGCUGGGACGGUACUGACGCUGAGACGACGAAGCGUGGGAGCAACAGG
rnacentral:rRNA from 1 species